rnacentral:rRNA from 1 species
GAUGAACGCUGGCGGCGUGCCUAAUACAUGCAAGUCGAGCGAACAGAUGAGGAGCUUGCUCCUCUGACGUUAGCGGCGGACGGGUGAGUAACACGUGGAUAACCUACCUAUAAGACUGGGAUAACUUCGGGAAACCGGAGCUAAUACCGGAUAAUAUAUUGAACCGCAUGGUUCAAUAGUGAAAGACGGUUUUGCUGUCACUUAUAGAUGGAUCCGCGCCGCAUUAGCUAGUUGGUAAGGUAACGGCUUACCAAGGCGACGAUGCGUAGCCGACCUGAGAGGGUGAUCGGCCACACUGGAACUGAGACACGGUCCAGACUCCUACGGGAGGCAGCAGUAGGGAAUCUUCCGCAAUGGGCGAAAGCCUGACGGAGCAACGCCGCGUGAGUGAUGAAGGUCUUCGGAUCGUAAAACUCUGUUAUUAGGGAAGAACAAAUGUGUAAGUAACUACGCACGUCUUGACGGUACCUAAUCAGAAAGCCACGGCUAACUACGUG